GUGCUUAUUUCGGCAGCACAUCUACUAAAAUUGAAAUGAUACAGAGAAGACUACCAUGGCCCCUGCACAAGGAUGACACGAAAAUUUGAAUACUUCACAAACAAAC
rfam:Myotis davidii contig33687, whole genome shotgun sequence.